rnacentral:misc_RNA from 1 species
GAUGAAGAACGCAGCGAAAUGCGAUACGUAAUGUGAAUUGCAGAAUUCAGUGAAUCAUCGAGUCUUUGAACGCACAUUGCGCCCCCUGGUAUUCCGGGGGACAUGCCUGUCCGAGCGUCAUUGCUGCCCUCAAGCACGGCUUGUGUGUUGGGCCUCCGUCCUCCUCCCGGGGGACGGGCCCGAAAGGCAGCGGCGGCACCGCGUCCGGUCCUCGAGCGUAUGGGGCUUCGUCACCCGCUCUUGUAGGCCCGGCCGGCGCUUGCCGACACAUCAAUCUUUUUUCCAGGUUGACCUCGGAUCAGGUAGGGAUACCCGCUGAACUUAAGCAUAUCAUAAGCGGAGGA